GGACUUCCUCUGACCCUGACUUCAGGAAACGCCGCAAGGACCCGGAAGGAAACAACUGUAAUUAGCUACUAAAUGCAAGUAGUGCAUCUGUAACCCAGAAUCCUGGUGACCCGGAUGCUAUGCUGUGCCUAUAGUCCACAGUAAGAUCGCACCAGAAACAUCGAGAAAACAAAGUCUUGCCCCAGUGUGAGAAAAUUCACCCGCCACCCACUCAGAAACUGUGCCUCGUCCUAGCCUUCAUGGACUACGACACCCAGCAGGCUCAGCGGCGCUGCGUCUGACCUGCGCAGUAGCAUCCUGGGUUGGAAGGCCUAGAUAUAGUCGUUUUUGGGAGAUCUGUCAGCUGUUGGGCUUUUCAGUCACAGUCUACCUACAACUUUAGCUUACUUUCCUUAGGAGCGUGUGCAGAGAAACUUAACGUUGUUCUCUCUUGCUUAGUAUAUUUCAAGGGAUUCAUGUAGUUUACUCUGCUUCUCGCUGAGUGGGUGGGGUGUGAUGAGGUGCAAGAGAGAAUCUCAGGAGAGUCGCCCCCGAUUCUGUGAGGUUUGGGCUGCUGCUUGGCGAGACUGUCUCUCUCUGCCUGAUAUAUGCAACCGAAGGAAGUUAAGAAUGAAAAGCCGUGGGAGAGAAAGAAUUAUUUUUCUGUUUUAGGUUUUUAUUAGCUGGUCUAAAGCAAAUUGACAUAGACAUUAUCUUGAGUAGAACAAUUCAUUGUGCAAACAGAAGUUCCACAGAAAUAUGAGACUCAAGCUGGUCAUGAUGGAGCAUGCUUCUGAUUCCUGCAUGUAGGAUCCUCAGGCAGGAGGAUUGCUCGGAGUACAGUGGCUGAUUAACCAGGGCCAUGGGUCAAAGCCUUAACGAAAUGGCCAAAAAUUGAGGCUGAAAUAUACCACCUAAAUUACUGAAAGGAAUAUGUAUUAUAUUUGACAUUCUUGAGCAAGUUGGAGUCUGCAGGAGGGGAAAUGUAUGGUGACUAAAGGUUGCCUUGUGCAGAUGAAAAUCUUUCCAGGGGAUAAAGGUGUGAGCUCAGCGAUAGGGUGCCUAUUACCAACCCUCAAGUUCAACAAUUCUGUUUGGAGAAGCUCUUGACCUGAUACAUUUACUAAUGACAAUCUCAACAAUCUCUGUCUCUGUCUCUCUCUGUUUCUGUCUCUCUCUCUCUGUUUAAAUGUGUAUUUCUUCUACACUAGAGAUGUUUAAAAUUAUAAGGAAUUUGUAUUAAUUUUCUGUGGCUGUGAUAAAACACCAUGACCAAGACCCCUUAUAGAAGAAAGAAAGAAUUUACAAGAAUCCAUAAUGGUGGGGUCAGCAUGGCAGCAGGUGGCAGCAGGCUGCUGGCAUGGUAACAGAGGUACAUCUUUCAUCUCAACUAUAAGCACAAAGUACAGAGAGCAAACGAAGUGGGACAGUCUUCAAACCCUUAAAGCAAAGCUCCAGAGACAUGCUUCCUCGAAGAAGGCUGCACCUCUAAAGCUCCUGAAACAGCACCACCAACUGGAGAUCAUAUGCUCAAAUGGUUUUUGCUUGCACUUGAUUUUCAAGGAUUUUAAGUUGAGAAGAUGAUCUCUCAGUUUCCUGAGGCUACCAGGCCUGCUGAUUGCUGCCAUGUCUCCCUGCCAUGAGGACUCUUAUUCUACUGGAACCAUAAUCAAGUAUAAACUCUUCUUUCUUUAAGUUGCUUUUGUCCAUAGUAUUUUUUCACAGUAGUAGAAAAGUAAAUGAUACAUAUUCUGUAGAUGUUUGAAUGAAAAUGGCUCUCAUAGACUCAUGUAUUUUAAUAUUUGGCCCCCAGUUUGUUGAAUUACUUGGGAAAGAUUCAGAAGUGUGGCCUUGUUGGAGGAAGUAUAUCACUGGGGUCAGGCUUUGAAGUUUCAAAAGAUUUGUUCCAUCUCCAGUUAGUUCUCUCUGCCUCCUGCCUAUAGAUCAGGAUGUAAGCUCUCAGCUACUGCUCCAGUGUCAUACCUGUCUGCCUAUUGCCAUGUUUCCUGUCAUGAUGUUAUAAACUUACCCUCUGAAACAAUAAGGCCAAUAAACUCUUUCUUC
rnacentral:lncRNA from 1 species